rnacentral:rRNA from 1 species
UACGGGGGAUGCGAGCGUUAUCCGGAUUUAUUGGGUUUAAAGGGUGCGUAGGCGGCGCUUCAGGUCAGCGGUGAAAUACCGGGGCUCAACCCCGGGGCUGCCGUUGAAACCGGAGCGCUAGAAUUCCGAUGCCGUCGGAGGAAUGUGUGGUGUAGCGGUGAAAUGCAUAGAUAUCACACAGAACACCGAUUGCGAAGGCAGCUCACUGGACUGCAACUGACACUGAGGCUCGAAAGUGUGGGUAUCAAACAGG